ensembl:lncRNA
GUUCCGGUUAAUCCAAUUAUUUUGGUUCCUAUUCCUACAUGCGCUUUGGGACCAAGUUAUUUACAAGCAACAUUUUUUUCAGCGACAUGAAAAAGUUGAUAGAUUUUAUUUUUCCCCUCUUUAAUUUCAGACAGAGACUCUGCCUACUUUAACAGCUGUCUGAUCAGGACUGGUAACUAUAUUUCAAGUUGUAGAACUUCCCCGGAACUUAAAUGUAUGCGGUAAAAAAUGUCAGAUACAUUUUUGUGGCUUAAACAAACAAAUUAUCUACAUGGGUGUUUUUGCUACUGUCUGUAAAAACGCAGACAGUUACUGUGACGGCAGGUGAAGCAUUUUUGGGUACAUCGCCCUAUACUUCAGCUCUUAAGGAGAGUGAACAAUGCUGCCUGCCAUUGGUCGACCUGCUCCCCUGUUGACGAACCCCUCCCUCCGCUAAAGCGAUGUGGAUCCUUCCAGACCGUCGCUCCAUCUAUUGGCGGCUUAAAACAACCAAGCUUUCCUUUGUUGGUGAACAUUUUCAUACAGUUGUACAAACCGUUAUGUUCAGCGGCUUGUUUUUAUGCUACCGUUUAAAUAAAAACGAAAGCUCUUUAUUCUUUUGUUAUUAAAAUAAUUAUACAAACUGACUGUUAUCUUGACUUCAUAGACAGAUCAUCACAUGGAGGUCGCCUGCAUAAAAUAGAACAUCUUAUGUACUUCCCAAUUGUUACCGCAGAACCUUGAAGUCAAAACAGCAAAUCAGAAAAUUACCUAAAUAUUUGGUAAAACUGAACAUUUCCCAAUGCACACGGAAUGUAUAUAAAAUUCUCCAAUAUAUGUGCAACUGGCCAUUACGUUUUGGGUGGGGCAUCAUUUGGUAUUAACAAACUGUGAUCAGUGAAUACAGAAAACCAGCGUGAAUGCAUGUGUGUAACAUCAGCGGCAUAAUCUCUGUGUGUGAAAUUCGAUUGUAACAUGAUCCUGUACUAGAAAAUUCUAGAAUCAAACAAAAGUACUUAAAUAUUCGUGCAUUUGUUAUUGAAGACAUUUUAUCAGUG